GACGAACGCUGGCGGCGUGCUUAACACAUGCCAGUCGAACGGAAAGGCCCUGCUUUUGUGGGGUGCUCGAGUGGCGAACGGGUGAGUAACACGUGAGUAACCUGCCCUUGACUUUGGGAUAACUUCAGGAAACUGGGGCUAAUACCGGAUAGGAGCUCCUGCUGCAUGGUGGGGGUUGGAAAGUUUCGGCGGUUGGGGAUGGACUCGCGGCUUAUCAGCUUGUUGGUGGGGUAGUGGCUUACCAAGGCUUUGACGGGUAGCCGGCCUGGGAGGGUGACCGGCCACAUUGGGACUGAGAUACGGCCCAGACUCCUACGGGAGGCAGCAGUGGGGAAUAUUGCACAAUGGGCGGAAGCCUUAUGCAGCAACGCCGCGUGCGGGAUGACUGCCUUCGGGUUGUAAACCGCUUUCGCCUGUGACGAAGCGUGAGUUACGGUAAUGGGUAAAGAAGCACCGGCUAACUACGUG
rnacentral:rRNA from 1 species